rnacentral:rRNA from 3 species
UUGGUGCCUUCGGGAACUGUGAGACAGGUGCUGCAUGGCUGUCGUCAGCUCGUGUUGUGAAAUGUUGGGUUAAGUCCCGCAACGAGCGCAACCCUUAUCCUUUGUUGCCAGCGGUUAGGCCGGGAACUCAAAGGAGACUGCCAGUGAUAAACUGGAGGAAGGUGGGGAUGACGUCAAGUCAUCAUGGCCCUUACGACCAGGGCUACACACGUGCUACAAUGGCAUAUACAAAGAGAAGCGACCUCGCGAGAGCAAGCGGACCUCAUAAAGUAUGUCGUAGUCCGGAUUGGAGUCUGCAACUCGACUCCAUGAAGUCGGAAUCGCUAGUAAUCGUAGAUCAGAAUGCUACGGUGAAUACGUUCCCGGGCCUUGUACACACCGCCCGUCACACCAUGGGAGUGGGUUGCAAAAGAAGUAGGUAGCUUAACCUUCGGGAGGGCGCUUACCACUUUGUGAUUCAUGACUGGGGUGAAGUCGUAACAAGGUAACCGUAGGGGAACCUGCGGUUGGAUCACCUCCUUA